GGCGCAGUGGCAGAGUGGUCUAAUGCGUGAGACUCGAAAUCUCAUCUCUUCGGAGGCGUCCGUUCGAAUCGGGCCUGCGUCG
rfam:Pseudallescheria apiosperma strain IHEM 14462 SEQ_SAPIO_0085, whole genome shotgun sequence.